rnacentral:rRNA from 2 species
GGUGAGUAACACGUGGGUAACCAUGCCUGUAAGACUGGGAUAACUCCGGGAAACCGGGGCUAAUACCGGAUGCUUGUUUGAACCGCAUGGUUCAAACAUAAAAGGUGGCUUCGGCUACCACUUACAGAUGGACCCGCGGCGCAUUAGCUAGUUGGUGAGGUAAUGGCUCACCAAGGCAACGAUGCGUAGCCGACCUGAGAGGGUGAUCGGCCACACUGGGACUGAGACACGGCCCAGACUCCUACGGGAGGCAGCAGUAGGGAAUCUUCCGCAAUGGACGAAAGUCUGACGGAGCAACGCCGCGUGAGUGAUGAAGGUUU